rnacentral:rRNA from 1 species
AACGAACGCUGGCGGCAUGCCUAACACAUGCAAGUCGAACGAGACCUUCGGGUCUAGUGGCGCACGGGUGCGUAACGCGUGGGAACCUGCCCUUAGGUUCGGGAUAACUCCCCGAAAGGGGUGCUAAUACCGGAUAAUGUCUUCGGACCAAAGAUUUAUUGCCUUUGGAUGGGCCGGCGUUGGAUUAGCUAGUUGGUAGGGUAAAAGCCUACCAAGGCGACGAUCCAUAGCUGGUCUGAGAGGAUGAUCAGCCACACUGGGACUGAGACACGGCCCAGACUCCUACGGGAGGCAGCAGUGGGGAAUAUUGAACAAUGGGCGAAAGCCUGAUCCAGCAAUGCCGCGUGAGUGAUGAAGGCCUUAGGGUUGUAAAGCUCUUUUACCCGGGAGGAUAAUGACAGUACCGGGAGAAAAAGCUCCGGCUAACUCCGUG